rnacentral:rRNA from 1 species
AUUGAACGCUGGCGGCAGGCCUAACACAUGCAAGUCGAAUGGUAACAGGGAUCAGCUUGCUGAUUCGCUGACGAGUGGCGGACGGGUGAGUAAUGUCUGGGAAACUGCCUGAUGGAGGGGGAUAACUACUGGAAACGGUAGCUAAUACCGCAUAACGUCGCAAGACCAAAGAGGGGGACCUUCGGGCCUCUUGCCAUCGGAUGUGCCCAGAUGGGAUUAGCUAGUAGGUGGGGUAACGGCUCACCUAGGCGACGAUCCCUAGCUGGUCUGAGAGGAUGACCAGCCACACUGGAACUGAGACACGGUCCAGACUCCUACGGGAGGCAGCAGUGGGGAAUAUUGCACAAUGGGCGCAAGCCUGAUGCAGCCAUGACGCGUGUAUGAAGAAGGCCUUCGGGUUGUAAAGUACUUUCAGCGGGGAGGAAGGGAGUAAAGUUAAUACCUUUGCUCAUUGACGUUACCCGCAGAAGAAGCACCGGCUAACUCCGUG